UUAAUCUUUAAUAUUAUUGUUAUCUAUCUGUUUUCUGUCCUGUUAAACUGCCUCUAUCAGAACCCACAAAUUUUAUGGUUUUUUUUUUUUUUUCCUGUUUUUUUUUCACGUCUUUCCCAUUUGAAGGAGGAGGGGAGCAAAAUCUGUGUGGUGUUUAGUUGCUGGCUACAGUUAAACCACGAUUGCUCUUUUUGGGGCCCCAAAGUAUUUGAGGUAAUGACAGAUGUGAUUGGGACAUGCUGGAUAAAAAUUAUAUCUGUUAGGGCUGUUUAGGGAUCAGUUGGCAGGCUCCUGUGCUUGCCAUGCAGCUUUCUUCCUGUUUGCCAGAGGCUCGUGCUUGCUAGUGGCUGCUUUCUGCUCUCUCUGCUCGCUGUAGAGCUGUGCUGCUCAUCUCCUUUCUCCGCUGUGCCUGAGAAUGUUCUGAUAGCAGCAGUGGUGAUGUGCCUGGGCUGGACCAGCGCACCACUGCUGUGUCUGUGCUGGACAGGAUGGAACCCCAGUGUGAGCUUGAGCGGGAGUGCUGCGAUCUGUGGAUGAGUCCAGAUGGGAGGAGGACACCUCAAGCCACCUGCGGCCCAUGGAUUGUGCCAUUCUGAAACAUGUGAGCCUCAGGGCUACAAAUAUCUAUGUUAUCAUCGUUGAGGGCAGAUCAAUCUGUUAACAUUUUUGGAACACAUCAGUGGGGAAUCUAUGAAGAUCUCUUAAUAAGGCAUUUGCAAUCUCAGGAAAUACAGGAAGAGGAUGAGAAGGAAAAAAGAAGACAAUCAGUAUUAUCACACUGGUCUCCAUCCAACAGUUCAGUGAGCUGUCUUCUUUCAGAACAGGAGUCCUUCUGAUGGGUUUUCAACUUCCUGAUUGUUGAAGUGCUAUGAAUAAUGACUGGAAACUUUGUUACCACCACAUUUUAAAUCUAAAAAUCAUGAAGUUUAUCAGCAAGUUAUUAAAAAAGAAAAAACAAUGAAAUCAAAACCUCAACCAGAGAAACAAAAGAAAAAAAAUCUGAAAGAGGGAAAUUAAUAAAUACCAAUCCAAAACCCAAUCAGCUUUGAAUAUCCAGAUUCUGGCUGUCUAGCUUCAAAUGUCACCACCAAGUAUAAUUUUUUUUAACAUUGGAUGUCCUUGUUACUUUCUGAUGCAGCAAAAACUUAAUGGUCACAGCAAAACUAAAAUUCCAUGUUAAUAAGAUAUAGAUACAGAAAAUUAUAGCCAUCUGCAUUCCUCCAUAUUAACAAGGACUACAGAUUUUCAAUUAGUUGACUCCUCUGUGAAACAGACUUUAAUUUUUAGGGAGAAAAUACAAAAGCCAUAACUGGAUCAAAUCUCCAUUAAAAUUGCUGGUGAGGGGGUCUGAAGUACUAAAUCAGUGUGCAAAUGAACCUAUCAGUAAAAAAGGUCGAUAUUUUGCAUAUAUAUCUAAGUAUAAAUAAGGAAGAAAAAUGUAGUGUCUUACUAAUGUAGAGAUGGCAGACUAUGCCUUGCACAGAAUACACAGCACAGUAUCUCAGAAAAAGGGAAAAGUUCCAAUUUUUUACAGUGGACCACAGGCCUGGGAGCUUGCCCUCAGAGAUUUAAUAAAUAAGGGCAGUGACGAAGUUUUGUUAUAAUAUUUGACAUCAGAUUGAGCCAAACUGAACUAGUGGGGUACCUUUCAGUGAGAAGAUAAUUGAUUUUGUCUGGGGAAUAUAUUAGAUCUCCCUUGUUUGGACUUCAGUGAAACAUUUGAUAUGGCAUGCAAAAGAAAUUCCAGUGAUAUUUAGGAAGAAAGGGAUGAAUAUUAUAAUUGCAUGAUGGAUAAGAUGAUGUCUACCUAGGCACCCAUUAUCUUUUUGAAAGCUGAACUGUAUUAGUAGAGAAGAUUUAUUAAUGGUGUUUCUCCAAGACUAUUCAAGGCAGGCAUUGAUGGUGCUUUUUAUUUAUUUAUUUAUUUAUUUUAUUUUUUAUAAUAAAAUUUGAUAUAAUGUCAAAUUAACAAAAAAUGAUUAAGUUUAGUGAAAUUGUGGUAACUAUUGCACAGUAUCUUUCUAGUAGCAUGUAAGUGUAACGUCUGAAUUGUAUCUACUUUUAAUUUUUUUCUCAAUUAAUUAAUUAACUAAUAACAAUUUAUUCCUUAAGGAAAUAAUUUAACAAAAUUUCAAAAUAUGUCAAUUACAGCCUUUAUUGCCUGUCGGUCCUGGGUCAUAAAAAUAUAUCUGUGAACAAAGUAGGAAGGGUGAUGAAAGAUUUAGGCAAAAAUUACAAUGAAAUAUAAAUAAUAUUAAAUAUUGAAUAUAAAUACUAUUAAAUGAACAUAUCUAGACUGAAAAUCACAAUGUUUCUAGCAAUAAAACAAAGGAAAUUUGGAAGGAGUUGUAUAUUUAGGAUAUCAAGAAGAGAAAUAUACCCCAUUUUAAGAGGUGAUUUUUUAAUGAAAGGGAUUAUAUGAGAUGACUGUGGAUUAUAUGGGAAACUGAUUUUGAGGCAAUCCUUGCUUCUUAUUAUUUUUAAUGUCUCUGUGUCUUACAAUUAAAGAGUCCUAAAAUGUGCCUAAAGAGGCUUUUUUUAUAAGACUUUUACUUACUGAAUUACACCAUGAGAAGUUUUAUUGGUAAUUAACAUGCUCCAGACACUGCCGGAAAUUAAUUUCCACAGAGGUAUCCUAUGGCUGAUGGGAUCUCUGCUCAUUUGCUGUGUCUGGUCAGCCUUUGGCAAGACAUCAACUUUGGGUAUUUGCAGUGGAGGCAGGAAAAAAGGCAUGUGAUUUUAUUUUCUCUAGAGAUUAGAAAGGUUUAGAGAUCAUAGAUGAGUUCCACUUUCAAUCAAGGCAGAUUUACCACCUCUGAAAAAUGGUUAAAUUAUUCAGAUUCUUGUUUUAAACAAAUUCCAACUUUGGGACUGAUGAUGUGUAUUAUUAUCUGCUUAUUUCCUUACUUCUUGUUUGCAGCUGUAAUUCAAAUCAGUGUAGUCAAAAUAAUUUCAGUAACUCUAACAAAUUAUGGAUGUAAUUAUUACUGAAUCCAUCUCAGAAUGCAGCUUUAUUUACAAAGGACACAGCAUUGAUUAAAACAGCUUGAAUUAUGCUAACUACAACACUGAGAUCUCUUUGCAAAACCAUCUGAGAAGCACAGUAAUUUGAGUUCAAGGGAGAGGCAGUAUUACAAGGAGGCUAAUGAUAAUCGUGUUUAAAGUCAUUGGCAGCUAAAGUACUUACUGUACAGGAGCCUUCUGUCAGAGACAAUUAUAGUGAAGGGCCUUUGAAUGGGGUCGAAAGACUCUGAGUGUGUUUCUGUGACAGCUUUGUUCUUACAAUACUUAUUCUGGCUUAUCUGUAAAGCAGUAUUAAAUUUAGAGUGUCACAAGCCAAGGGGCUCAUGAAAAACUAAAUUGACAGUAUGCAACAAUGUGGUAGUUACACUGCAGCCUUUCUAAUAAUGGCACUGCAUUGUUAGAUCAAAAGCAUCCCCCAGGACCCCGGAAGUAGCACCAGUAGUCCUGUUCACAUGGAUUAGGAAAGCACUGUUCACUGCAAAAAGCUGUCAGGAAUAAAGAAAAACCUGCUAGGAUCACCUUGUUUUGUAUCUGGUCAUCAGCCCACAAGAGGUAUUUUUGAAUGGUGUCCCAGUUUUGCUUGUUAUGUGUCUAUUUAAUUUAAUUUAAUUUCAUUUCACUUUUGUUUUUGAGGAAGGAGGCAGUGGGUGAGUAGUUUAGCUUCACGUGCUCUGGUGUAUCUAAGUAUCUCACAGCUUUCAAUUAGUUUAAUCUCACCACUAAAUUCGAUGGUUCUGUGAAUAUUUCAGAUUCUUUCACUAGUUCUGAACUUUGAAGAUUGUUCUUUAUAUUACCUCCUAUCAAAUAAUGACAACAGUGUUUUAUGGAACAAGCUGCCUAUCAAUACACUCUUAUAUUAUUUUUUGUCCUCAAAAAUAAAUAUAUUCUUAUAUUAUUGCUUAUCUAUUAAAACAAAACAUAGAACCAAGAGAGGGUUUUCAUGGGAAUCUCACUUGAAGUAAGCUUGCCUAUUCUGUUUUCACGGGAGACAUUUUGCAAAUGUCAGUCUUUGCAAUUUUUAUGAGAAAAAUUAGCUCAUCUGGGUCCUGUCCUCUAUGAGGAUUAGUCAGAAUUGAAAGGAAAUAUUAAAAAAAUAGUCUAUAAUUUUGAAAUAGCUUUUUAAUUAAUAUCUGAAUGCAUGGAUUUAAAAGAACCUUAGCAUUUUAAUGAAAAAAUAAGGGAACUAAUAAUAAUGUUGAUUCAUCUUCAAGCAGGUUUAGGAUUAACUGUGAAAAACUGAGAUAGCAUUUGCAAAUGUCUGACCAACUCCAUUAUUUGUUUAAAAGCCUUUAGUGCAACCUGCUGUAAUUUGAAGUCUUAUGCUUAUAUCACAAUUAUGAACCAGACUGUCUUAUCAAAUAAUAAUUUCCAUUAUUUUGCCCUUUAGAGAAGUUAGGAAAAUAAGGGUAGAUUAGACAAUGUAUUUCCUUGAGCAUGUGCUUCUCAACAGACUGUACACUCAGAAGAUAUGGGAAGACAAGAAA